GACGAACGCUGGCGGCGUGCUUAACACAUGCAAGUCGAACGGAAAGGCCCUGCUUUUGUGGGGUGCUCGAGUGGCGAACGGGUGAGUAACACGUGAGUAACCUGCCCUUGACUUUGGGAUAACUUCAGGUAACUGGGGCUAAUACCGGAUAGGAGCUCCUGCUGCAUGGUGGGGGUUGGAAAGUUUCGGCGGUUGGGGAUGGACUUGCGGCUUAGCAGCUUGUUGGUGGGGGAGUGGCUUACCAAGGCUUUGACGGGUAGCCGGCCGGGGGGGGUGACCGGCCCAAUGGGGCCGGGGGAGCGGCCAGGGCGCACUGGGGGGGAAAGGGUGGGAAAUAUUUCCAAAGGGGCGGAAGCCUAAUGGAGCACCGCCGGGUGGGGGAUUGCGGCCUUCGGGUUGGAAACCGUUUUGGCCUUUAACGAGGGGUGGGGACGGUAAAGGGGGAAAAAGGCCCGGGUUAACUCGGG
rnacentral:rRNA from 1 species